rnacentral:rRNA from 1 species
GAGUCUAGCAUGUGAGCGAGUCAUUGGGCAUUUAGAAACCCAAAGGCGAAGCGAAAUCAAAGGCGAACCUUCGGGCAAGCCGGGGGAUGAUGGGCGGUUUACGACCGCCUCGCAAUCCCGGGGUGUCUCUUUCUCAUUGCGAGAUGGGGCGCCCUCAGAGCCCACACGCUGGGACCCGAAAGAUGGUGAACUAUGCCUGGUCAGGACGAAGCCAGGGGAAACCCUGGUGGAGGUCCGUAGCGAUUCUGACGUGCAAAUCGAUCGUCAUAUCUGGGUAUAGGGGCGAAAGACCAAUCGAACCAUCUAGUAGCUGGUUCCCUCCGAAGUUUCCCUCAGGAUAGCAGGUGCCGGAGCGUGCCGCGUACAUACGCGCACGGCUGUAGUCACAUGCGGUAAAGCGAAUGAUUAGAGGUAUUGGGGUCGAAACGGCCUCAACCUAUUCUCAAACUUUCAAUGUGUGCGAUCUCCGGCUUACGUAUUCGAAGCCGGUUGAUUGGAUACGAAGGUGCCUAGUGGGCCAUUUUUGGUAAGCAGAACUGGCGCUGUGGGAUGAACCAAACGUGGAGUUAAAGUGCCUAAACCACGCUUAUGGGAAACCAUGAAAGGCGUUAGUAACUAAAGACAGCAGGACGGUGGCCAUGGA